rnacentral:rRNA from 1 species
UGGGGAAUCUUGCACAAUGGGGGAAACCCUGAUGCAGCGACGCCGCGUGAGCGAUGAAGCCCUUCGGGGUGUAAAGCUCUUUCGGCAGGGACGAUUAUGACGGUACCUGCAGAAGAAGCUGCGGCUAACUACGUGCCAGCAGCCGCGGUAAUACGUAGGCAGCAAGCGUUGUUCGGAAUUACUGGGCGUAAAGGGUGCGUAGGCGGUUGGGCAAGUCUGUUGUGAAAUCUCCCGGCUUAACUGGGAGGGUGCGGUGGAAACUGCUCGACUAGAGUGUGGGAGAGGAAAGUGGAAUUCCUGGUGUAGCGGUGAAAUGCGUAGAUAUCAGGAGGAACACCUGCGGUGUAGACGGCUUUCUGGACCACUACUGACGCUGAGGCACGAAAGCGUGGGGAGCAAACA